rnacentral:rRNA from 1 species
AGAGUUUGAUCAUGGCUCAGAGCGAACGCUGGCGGCAGGCUUAACACAUGCAAGUCGAGCGGGUGUAGCAAUACAUCAGCGGCAGACGGGUGAGUAACGCGUGGGAACGUACCUUUUGGUUCGGAACAACACAGGGAAACUUGUGCUAAUACCGGAUAAGCCCUUACGGGGAAAGAUUUAUCGCCGAAAGAUCGGCCCGCGUCUGAUUAGCUAGUUGGUGAGGUAAUGGCUCACCAAGGCGACGAUCAGUAGCUGGUCUGAGAGGAUGAUCAGCCACAUUGGGACUGAGACACGGCCCAAACUCCUACGGGAGGCAGCAGUGGGGAAUAUUGGACAAUGGGGGCAACCCUGAUCCAGCCAUGCCGCGUGAGUGAUGAAGGCCCUAGGGUUGUAAAGCUCUUUUGUGCGGGAAGAUAAUGACGGUACCGCAAGAAUAAGCCCCGGCUAACUUCGUGCCAGCAGCCGCGGUAAUACGAAGGGGGCUAGCGUUGCUCGGAAUCACUGGGCGUAAAGGGUGCGUAGGCGGGUUUUUAAGUCAGGGGUGAAAUCCUGGAGCUCAACUCCAGAACUGCCUUUGAUACUGAAGAUCUUGAGUCCGGGAGAGGUGAGUGGAACUGCGAGUGUAGAGGUGAAAUUCGUAGAUAUUCGCAAGAACACCAGUGGCGAAGGCGGCUCACUGGCCCGGUACUGACGCUGAGGCACGAAAGCGUGGGGAGCAAACAGGAUUAGAUACCCUAGUAGUCC